rnacentral:rRNA from 1 species
CCUACGGGUGCUGCAGUGGGGAAUAUUGGACAAUGGGCGAAAGCCUGAUCCAGCCAUGCCGCGUGUGUGAAGAAGGCCUUCGGGUUGUAAAGCACUUUCAGUGGGGAAGAAAGCCUUGGGGCUAAUACCCUCGAGGAAGGACAUCACCCACAGAAGAAGCACCGGCUAACUCCGUGCCAGCAGCCGCGGUAAUACGGAGGGUGCGAGCGUUAAUCGGAAUUACUGGGCGUAAAGCGCGCGUAGGCGGUCUGAUAAGCCGGUUGUGAAAGCCCCGGGCUCAACCUGGGAACGGCAUCCGGAACUGUCAGGCUAGAGUGCAGGAGAGGAAGGUAGAAUUCCCGGUGUAGCGGUGAAAUGCGUAGAGAUCGGGAGGAAUACCAGUGGCGAAGGCGGCCUUCUGGACUGACACUGACGCUGAGGUGCGAAAGCGUGGGUAGCAAACAGGAUUAGAUACCCCUGUAGUC